rnacentral:rRNA from 1 species
CCUUGAUCUUAGUUGCCAGCAUUCAGUUGGGCACUCUAAGGUGACUGCCGGUGACAAACCGGAGGAAGGUGGGGAUGACGUCAAAUCAUCAUGCCCCUUAUGACCUGGGCUACACACGUGCUACAAUGGACGGUACAAAGGGCAGCAAAACCGCGAGGUCGAGCCAAUCCCAUAAAACCGUUCUCAGUUCGGAUUGCAGGCUGCAACUCGCCUGCAUGAAGCCGGAAUCGCUAGUAAUCGCGGAUCAGCAUGCCGCGGUGAAUACGUUCCCGGGCCUUGUACACACCGCCCGUCACACCACGAGAGUUUGUAACACCCGAAGUCGGUGGGGUAACCUUUUGGAGCCAGCCGCCUAAGGUGGGACAGAUGAUUGGGGUGAAGUCGUAACAAGGUAGCCGUAUCGGAAGGUGCGGCUGGAUCACCUCCUUUCUA